rnacentral:tRNA from 1 species
GUCCUAGUGGUGAAACUAUCACCUUACCUUUUCGAGGUAAAAUUGAAAUCCUUCCUAGGAUU